AAAUUUUUAUUUCUGAAAUUAUGAAAUAAAACAUAUCAUCUACCUUGUGAUUGUUGUAAUGAAAUAAUUUUUUAAAAGAAAAAUUAUUUAUUUUAGUCUAUCCCUAAAGUAGUCUUGGAAGCAAUGAAGAGAUUGGUUUUAGGGAGUAGAUUUAUAAAUAAUUUUUUUGAAAAGACUUUUUAAAAUACUUUUGUAUCAUUUGUCUAAAUUUUUAAUAAUAUUAAAAACAACUUUUGACAAUGGAUCUCUUGUUCUCGCAACGAUGAAGAACGCAGCAAAUGCGAUAAGUAAUGUGAAUUGCAGAAUACGUGAAUAUCAAUCUUCGAACGCAUAUUGCACUUUUUAGUUUACUAAAAAAGUAUGUCUGUUGAGUAUCAGUAAAAUUCUCAUAAAAAAUUAUUUUUUUUAUGGUUAUGAGUGUUACAACGAUACAAGUUGUUUCACUUAAAUUGAAUUUAAAUUGUUUUUAUUUCAAUUUUAAAAAUUGGAUAAAUUUCCCGUAAAAAAGGAAUAACUGACAAUUUUUAAUCUGAAAUUAAAAUCAAUAGCAAAAGGAAUUUAUUCAAAUAACUUGAUCUCAAUCAGAUAAGAGUACCCGCUGAACUUAAGCAUAUCAAUAAGCGGAGGAAAAGAACUAACAAGGAUUCCCCUAGUAACGGCGAGUGAAGCGGAAGAGCUCAAAUUUGAAAUCUUAAAGGGUUUCCUUUACGAAUUGUAGUUUAAAGAAGUGUUUCUGCUGAAUUUUGGUAAAAGUUCUUUGGAAUAGGACAUCAUAGAGGUGAAUCCCGUAUUUGACCAUUAUCUUCAGCUAUGUGAUACACUUCAAAGAGUCGGAUUGUUUGGGAAUGCAGUCCAAAUGGGUGGUAAUUCAUCUAAGCUAAAUAUUGGCGAGAGACCGAUAGCGAACAAGUACCGUGAGGGAAAGAUGAAAAGAACUUGAAAAGAGAGUUAACAGUACGUGAAAUUGUCAAAGGAAGCGUUUGACACCAGUGUUGUUUCUCUGAAAAUCAAUUACAGGAAAGUUAUGUUAAGUUGUUAGACUUUAUCAGCUUACUGCUAAUUUUAGCUUUUCUUUAAUGCACUUUUCAGUUACAAGUCAACAUCAAUUCUUUGUUGUAAAAGGUAAGGGAAGGUGGCUCAAGCUUCGGCUUAAGUGUUUAUAGUCCUUUGCUUCUGCAAUCGGAAGAUGAGGUCUGCAGCGUAGAUCCUUCUGGAUUAGAUACAUUGUGCUAGUUACAGCUCUUAUAGACAACUUGUUGACUAUGAUCAGUCUUGUAGCUUACUCGCUUAUGCUAUUUACCUACGCUAGGAUGUUGAG
rnacentral:misc_RNA from 1 species